rnacentral:rRNA from 1 species
AUUGAACGCUGGCGGCAGGCCUAACACAUGCAAGUCGAAUGGUAACAGGAAACAGCUUGCUGUUUCGCUGACGAGUGGCGGACGGGUGAGUAAUGUCUGGGAAACUGCCGAUGGAGGGGGAUAACUACUGGAAACGGUAGCUAAUACCGCAUAACGUCGCAAGACCAAAGAGGGGGACCUUCGGGCCUCUUGCCAUCAGAUGCGCCCAGAUGGGAUUAGCUAGUAGGUGGGGUAACGGCUCACCUAGGCGACGAUCCCUAGCUGGUCUGAGAGGAUGACCAGCCACACUGGAACUGAGACACGGUCCAGACUCCUACGGGAGGCAGCAGUGGGGAAUAUUGCACAAUGGGCGCAAGCCUGAUGCAGCCACGCCGCGUGUAUGAAGAAGGCCUUCGGGUUGUAAAGUACUUUCAGCGGGGAGGAAGGGAGUAAAGUUAAUACCUUUGCUCAUUGACGUUACCCGCAGAAGAAGCACCGGCUAACUCCGUG